GAUGAACGCUGGCGGCGUGCCUAAUACAUGCCAGUCGAGCGAACAGACGAGGAGCUUGCUCCUCUGACGUUAGCGGCGGACGGGUGAGUAACACGUUGAUAACCUACCUAUAAGACUGGGAUAACUUCGGGAAACCGGAGCUAAUACCGGAUAACAUGUUGAACCGCAUGGUUCAACAGUGAAAGACGGUCUUGCUGUCACUUAUAGAUGGAUCCGCGCCGCAUUAGCUAGUUGGUAAGGUAACGGCUUACCAAGGCAACGAUGCGUAGCCGACCUGAGAGGGUGAUCGGCCACACUGGAACUGAGACACGGUCCAGACUCCUACGGGAGGCAGCAGUAGGGAAUCUUCCGCAAUGGGCGAAAGCCUGACGGAGCAACGCCGCGUGAGUGAAGAAGGUCUUCGGAUCGUAAAACUCUGUUAUUAGGGAAGAACAAAUGUGUAAGUAACUAUGCACGUCUUGACGGUACCUAAUCAGAAAGCCACGGCUAACUACGUG
rnacentral:rRNA from 1 species